rnacentral:rRNA from 1 species
UACGGGGGGUGCGAGCGUUGUCCGGAAUCACUGGGCGUAAAGGGCGCGUAGGCGGCCUGAUAAGUAGGGGGUGAAAUCCUGCGGCUUAACCGCAGGGCUGCCUUCUAAACUGUCGGGCUUGAGCACAGUAGAGGCGAGUGGAAUUCCCGGUGUAGCGGUGAAAUGCGCAGAUAUCGGGAGGAACACCAAUGGCGAAGGCAGCUCGCUGGGACGGUACUGACGCUGAGACGCGAAAGCGUGGGGAGCAAACAGG